AUUGAACGCUGGCGGCAUGCUUUACACAUGCAAGUCGAACGGUAACAGGCCGCAAGGUGCUGACGAGUGGCGAACGGGUGAGUAAUGCAUCGGAACGUGCCCAGUCGUGGGGGAUAACGCAGCGAAAGCUGCGCUAAUACCGCAUACGAUCUAUGGAUGAAAGCGGGGGACCGUAAGGCCUCGCGCGAUUGGAGCGGCCGAUGUCAGAUUAGGUAGUUGGUGGGGUAAAGGCUCACCAAGCCGACGAUCUGUAGCUGGUCUGAGAGGACGACCAGCCACAGUGGGACUGAGACACGGCCCAGACUCCUACGGGAGGCAGCAGUGGGGAAUUUUGGACAAUGGGCGCAAGCCUGAUCCAGCAAUGCCGCGUGCAGGAAGAAGGCCUUCGGGUUGUAAACUGCUUUUGUACGGAGCGAAAAGGCUCCCUCUAAUACAGGGGGCUCAUGACGGUACCGUAAGAAUAAGCACCGGCUAACUACGUGCCAGCCGCCGCCGUAACAC
rnacentral:rRNA from 1 species